rnacentral:rRNA from 1 species
UACGGAGGGUGCAAGCGUUAUCCGGAUUCACUGGGUUUAAAGGGUGCGUAGGUGGGCAGGUAAGUCAGUGGUGAAAUCUCCGGGCUUAACCCGGAAACUGCCAUUGAUACUAUCUGUCUUGAAUACCGUGGAGGUGAGCGGAAUAUGUCAUGUAGCGGUGAAAUGCUUAGAUAUGACAUAGAACACCAAUUGCGAAGGCAGCUCACUACACGAAUAUUGACACUGAGGCACGAAAGCGUGGGGAUCAAAC